UAAAGCAGCCAUGUCACCCUGCAACUCACAACUGGCAGCCCACUGAAGCUCAGCAGGUGUGAGCCUGGUCAGUACCUGGAUGGGAGACCUCCUGGGAAAAACUAAGGUUGCUGCUGGAA
ensembl:rRNA 5S_rRNA 5S ribosomal RNA